CAACAAUCUCCCCGCCCCAUCACGCGUGGCCUUCCUCUUGAGCUCUCUCAACAUAAGCAGAGUGAAGCUCUACGACGCAGAUCCAACCGUGCUGUCAGCAUUCGCCAACACAGACGUGGAGUUUGUGAUCGGCCUAGGCAACGAGUACCUGCAGAAGAUGUCCGAUCAGGCCCAAGCUCAGGCCUGGGUCGAGCAGCACGUGAAGCCCUACACAUCCCAGACGAAGAUCAGGUGCAUCACCGUUGGGAACGAGGUCCUCACGGGCAACAACACGCAGCUCAUGUCGUACCUCCUCCCUGCUAUGCAGUCAGUGAAUGCUGCUGUCACCAAUCUGGGGCUAAGCAAGGAGAUAUACGUGACCACGGCCCACUCAUUCGCCAUCCUCAGCAGCUCGUUCCCGCCCUCUGCAGGUGCAUUCAGGCAGGACCUUGCAGAGUACAUCCAAAGCAUUCUCAAUUUCCACACACAGACUCACUCACCCUUCCUCAUAAAUGCUUACCCC
rnacentral:lncRNA from 1 species